rnacentral:rRNA from 1 species
CCUACGGGAGGCAGCAGUGGGGAAUAUUGCGCAAUGGGCGAAAGCCUGACGCAGCGACGCCGCGUGAGGGAUGAAGUUCUUCGGAUCGUAAACCUCUGUCAGCAGGGAAGAACGGUGACUGGGCUAAUCAGCAGUGAAUUGACGGUACAUGCAAAGGAAGCACAGGCUAACUCCGUGCCAGCAGCCGCGGUAAUACGGAGGGUGCGAGCGUUAAUCGGAAUUACUGGGCGUAAAGCGCGCGUAGGCGGUAUGUCAAGUCAAGGGUGAAAUCCCCGCGCUCAACGUGGGAACUGCCUUUGAAACUGCCAUCCUGGCUUGUGUGUGCGGCUAGUGGACUUCCAGGUGU